UACAGAGGUCUCGAACGUUGUUCGGAUUCAUUGGGCGUAAAGGGUGCGUAGGUGGCUAGGUAAGUCGGAUGUGAAAUCUCUGGGCUUAACCCAGAAAGGUCAACCGAUACUGCGGGGCUAGAGUGCAGAAGGGGCAACUGGAAUUCUCGGUGUAGCGGUGAAAUGCGUAGAUAUCGAGAGGAACACCUGCGGCGAAGGCGGGUUGCUGGGCUGACACUGACGCUGAUGCGCGAAAGCUAGGGGAGCGAACGGG
rnacentral:rRNA from 1 species